AUAAAGCUGUCCCUUUCUACUUCAGCUUAGAGCAACUUCAACAAGGAAGACACCAGAAAGAGCACACCGAGAAAUAUUUGAGUGUGUAUAGUUUCAAGCAGGUAGAACAAAUCAUUUUCUAUUUCCACCUCCAUUUCCAUUCAUCCUAACAGAGCAAAAUGAAGAGAAACAUAAAGAUUCAAACAGUUCCUGUCAGUGAACCAUUGAACCUAGAAGACCCAAACAAGGGGAACCUCUUAAGGAUGAGUAAUGGAUGAAUACUGCCUAGUGUCCAAAUAAUUCCACCACAUUUAACUCUAACCAUAACACUAACCAUAAACCUAACAUUCACCUGUUAUCAAACCUUUGAACCUAAAAGAUAUAAACUUGGUGAGCCUAGUGAGGCUAGGGAAAAGAUGAAUCCUGCUCAGUAUCAAAGUAAUCUCACAAAAUUUAACCCUAACACUAACACGCACCAAAACCCUAACAUUAACCCAAACCUUGAACUGAACUCUAACCUGUUAGAAAACCUCUAAACCAGGAGACCCAAACUUUAGGAGCACAGUCAGUCUAGGUAAUAGAGGAAUCCUGCUGAGUAUCAAAGAAAUCCGACCAAAAAAUUUUUGGGAGCUAUUUGAGUACAUGCCUAAUUUUCUGUUUUCUUUUUAAUGUGAUCCCACAUAAAGUUGUUCCUUUCUGCUUCACCUUAGGGCUACUUCAACAAGGAACAAACCAGAGAGGACACACUGAGAACUGAUUGAGUGUGUGAACUUUCAAGAAGCUUAUGCAAAUUCUAUUUGAUUUCCACAUCUAUUUCCAUUCAUUUGUAUAGAGCAAAAUGAAGUAAAAGUGAAAAUCCAAACUGUUUCUACAAGCAAACCAUUGAACCAAGAAGACCUAAACUUGCAGUACCUGGUUCAAUGGUUCCCUUGAAGGUUCCUGUUUCAUUUCAUGUUGCCCUAUACAGAUGUAUGUAAAUGAUGGUGGUAAGCAAACAAGAUUUGUGCUACCUGCUUUAAAGUUCACCCACUUAAUCAGUUUUCAGUGCACAGUCUCUGGUUUGUUUCCUUUGAAAUUGCCAUAAGCUGAAGUAGAAAAGGACAGCUAUUUCUGUGAACACUUUAGGAGCAAGCAGUUGAACACACAUGUACUGAAAUAUCUCCAAAGUAUUUUUGGUCGGAUUUUUCGGACACAUGGAAGGAUGCAUCUUACACCCGGCUUCGCUGGGCUCACUAAGUUUGGAUCUUCUAAAAAACAGGUUCACUGCAGUGAACACUUAGUACAUCAGCCUUUGUCAGGACCUCUAAAUAUUUUUUUUCAUGAUCCACCAGAGGUGGAAUUACUGCAUACAUUCUGUGUCUAUUUUAUGGUUCCCUAAUUAGCCAGAGUAGUGGUGCCAUAUAUAAAUAUUGAUCAAAGAAUAGCAAAGAAGAGGGCAGAUCUUAUUGCAUUCCCACAACCUGGACUUGAAUACUUGGUCUGAAUCCUUGCUAAGUGGAUAGGCAAGAAGCACUAUUUCAUGCCCAGAUGCAAGAUCCAAAUCAGAUGCCAUGCUCACAGGUCCAUCACUACUGUGGAACAGCUGUGGAGACUUCCUUCUCUGGGUUUUAAUGUGGUUACCCUGUGGUUGUGGAUCUUUUUUCACCAUAGUAUUAUAUUGGGUGUGAAACUAGCUAUGGAGACCACUGAAUGUGUACUUGUGUGGACACUUGCACUCUGCUCUUUGGGACUAUUUAUGGUACCACUUCUCUGAAGUGUCACUUCUCAAUACAUAUAAAGAAACUGUAGAUUGUACAUUCCCUCCCCCUGA